UACGUAGGGCGCAAGCGUUGUCCGGAUUUAUUGGGCGUAAAGAGCUCGUAGGCGGCUUGUCGCGUCGGAUGUGAAAGCCCGGGGCUUAACUCCGGGUCUGCAUUCGAUACGGGCAGGCUAGAGUUCGGUAGGGGAGAGUCGGAAUUCCUGGUGGAGCGGUGAAAUGCGUAGAGAUCUGGAAGAACACCAAAGGCGAAGGCAGCGUCCUGGCAAGUCACUGACGCUCAGGUGCGAAAGCUAGGGGAGCGAACGGGG
rnacentral:rRNA from 1 species